AUGUCUCUCUCUCCUGUCUUUCUGUAGGAAGACAACACUAAGAGCGUGACAGUUGUCCUGCUCCGAGAGAGCGGAUCUCUGGGUUUUAACAUCGUAGGAGGAAGGCCAUGUGCGGACGACAAUGACGGCACUUCAAAUGAAGGGAUCUUUGUGUCCAAGAUUGUCGAGAAAGGUCCAGCGGACAAGGAGGAAGGCCUUCAUAUCCACGACAGAAUAAUGGAGGUAUGUGACAAAUGCUGUGGUGUUUUUCAUGUGAAAAUGGGCGACAGAAGUCGAUGUACACUAAACGUCCACCAGGAGCGUAUCGGCGACCUCACAAAGCUGCAGUCCAAGGUGACACAUGAAACCAUGAGUUGCGUUUUUCGGGUUUUGGUUUCAGUUAUCUUUUGCUUCAACAAAUACUCUCUCAAAACAAGACUCAUCUGGAGGUUGCAUUGUUGUCGAGUGUAGCAUCGCUGUAGAUAAAACUUUGGUUUUCUUUCACUGAGUGAGAGAGAGCUUUGUAUUUUCUUCAUUUCCCAGUCGGCAAAUCCUUUCUGACAGAAGCCGCCGUGUUCCAUCCUCCCCUCUACCUUUAAAUGCAAACUUGUGUGGAACGGGCAGCUCACCCUCGGAGGUCAACUUCAGGGACGAUCUGAGCAACUCAAAAUCACAAAGGUUGCUUUUACAGAGAAAGCUAGACUCCCACAUAAUGCCUGCAUUGAAAUGAGGAGGUCUGUGAGGGAUUGAGAGUGUGUAGUUACCGCGUGCCACAAGAUGACAAAUAUGGUUUGUCGCUGGCUUUAUUGUCAAACCUCAGCAAAACCAGCCCUGCAGCACUUUGAACGGCACAUUGCUCACAGAGAUGUUUGUGGAAAGUGUUUAUGAGAAAAAGAGAGAACAUCUGGGCCAUGUUGAUCACUCUAGCCUGUUGUUCUAUAUACAGGAAAAAAAA